GGGCCGCGCCGCCGGCCAGCGCAGCCCCAGCCGGCCGCCGGGCCCAGCUGAGCGGCGGAGCCCGCAGCCCCCAGCGGCUGCACCCAGCUCCAUGAAUGGAAAUCGGCAGCGCAGGACCCGUCGGGGCUCAGCCCCUGCUCAUGGUGCCCAGACGUCCUGGCUAUGGCACCAUGGGCAAACCCAUUAAACUGCUGGCCAACUGCUUCCAAGUUGAAAUCCCAAAGAUUGAUGUUUACCUCUAUGAGGUGGAUAUCAAACCAGAUAAGUGUCCUCGGAGGGUGAACAGGGAGGUGGUGGACUCAAUGGUGCAGCAUUUUAAAGUGACAAUAUUUGGGGACCGUAGACCGGUUUAUGAUGGGAAAAGAAGCCUCUAUACAGCCAAUCCGCUUCCUGUGGCCACUACUGGGGUGGAUUUGGAUGUGACAUUGCCAGGAGAAGGUGGAAAAGAUCGUCCCUUCAAAGUGUCAAUAAAGUUUGUUUCUCGGGUGAGCUGGCACUUGCUGCAUGAAGUUUUGACAGGAAGAACUUUGCCUGAGCCUCUGGAACUAGACAAACCUAUCAGCACUAACCCUGUUCAUGCUGUCGAUGUGGUGCUACGACACCUACCCUCCAUGAAGUAUACCCCUGUGGGCCGCUCCUUUUUCUCUGCUCCAGAAGGCUAUGAUCACCCCUUGGGUGGGGGUAGGGAGGUCUGGUUUGGAUUCCAUCAGUCUGUUCGGCCUGCCAUGUGGAAGAUGAUGCUCAAUAUUGAUGUUUCUGCCACUGCCUUCUACAAAGCACAACCUGUGAUUCAGUUUAUGUGUGAAGUUCUUGACAUUCAUAAUAUUGAUGAACAACCAAGACCUCUGACUGAUUCUCAUCGGGUAAAAUUCACCAAAGAGAUAAAGGGUCUAAAGGUAGAAGUGACUCACUGCGGAACGAUGAGAAGGAAAUACCGUGUCUGUAAUGUAACAAGAAGGCCUGCGAGUCAUCAAACCUUUCCUUUACAGUUAGAAAAUGGCCAGACUGUGGAGAGAACAGUAGCACAGUAUUUCAGAGAGAAAUACAACCUCCAGCUGAAAUACCCUCAUCUUCCUUGCCUGCAAGUGGGACAAGAACAGAAACACACCUACCUGCCUUUAGAAGUCUGUAACAUCGUAGCUGGGCAGCGCUGCAUCAAGAAGCUGACAGACAAUCAGACAUCAACUAUGAUAAAGGCCACAGCGAGAUCUGCUCCAGAUAGACAAGAGGAAAUCAGCAGAUUGGUGAGAAGUGCAAAUUACGAUGCAGACCCGUUUGUCCAAGAGUUCCAGUUCAAGGUCCGGGAUGAGAUGGCCCACGUGACGGGCCGUGUGCUCCCAGCUCCCAUGUUGCAGUACGGAGGACGGAAUCGAACAGUGGCAACCCCAAGCCAUGGGGUUUGGGACAUGAGAGGGAAGCAGUUCCACACUGGUGUUGAGAUCAAAAUGUGGGCUAUAGCAUGCUUUGCAACACAGAGACAGUGCAGAGAAGAAAUACUGAAGGGUUUCACGGACCAGCUGCGCAAGAUCUCCAAGGACGCCGGGAUGCCCAUCCAAGGCCAGCCCUGCUUCUGCAAAUAUGCCCAGGGUGCAGACAGUGUGGAGCCCAUGUUUCGACACCUCAAGAACACUUAUUCAGGGCUUCAGCUCAUCAUUGUCAUCCUGCCAGGGAAAACACCGGUGUAUGCGGAGGUGAAGCGUGUGGGAGACACACUGUUAGGAAUGGCCACACAGUGUGUUCAGGUCAAGAAUGUCAUUAAAACAUCGCCACAGACCCUAUCAAAUCUGUGCCUGAAGAUUAAUGUUAAGCUGGGAGGAAUCAAUAACAUCCUUGUACCUCAUCAAAGACCUUCUGUGUUCCAGCAGCCAGUGAUCUUUUUGGGAGCCGACGUCACUCACCCUCCUGCUGGAGAUGGAAAGAAGCCUUCUAUAGCUGCUGUUGUAGGUAGUAUGGAUGCUCAUCCAAGCCGGUACUGUGCCACAGUCAGAGUUCAGCGACCCCGGCAGGAGAUCAUCCAAGAUUUAGCCUCCAUGGUGAGAGAGCUUCUCAUCCAGUUCUACAAGUCAACACGGUUCAAGCCCACACGGAUCAUCUUCUAUAGAGAUGGGGUCUCUGAAGGACAGUUUCGACAGGUUUUGUAUUAUGAACUGCUAGCCAUCAGAGAAGCCUGCAUCAGUCUGGAGAAAGAUUACCAGCCUGGAAUAACAUAUAUUGUGGUGCAGAAACGACAUCAUACACGAUUGUUCUGUGCUGACAGAACAGAAAGGGUUGGACGAAGCGGCAAUAUUCCAGCUGGAACAACUGUAGAUACAGACAUUACACAUCCAUAUGAGUUUGAUUUUUACCUCUGUAGCCAUGCUGGAAUACAGGGUACCAGCCGUCCCUCACACUAUCAUGUUUUGUGGGAUGAUAACUGUUUUACUGCAGAUGAACUUCAACUGCUGACUUACCAGCUCUGCCACACCUACGUGCGCUGCACACGAUCGGUUUCUAUACCUGCACCAGCGUAUUACGCUCACCUGGUAGCAUUCAGAGCACGAUACCAUCUUGUGGAUAAAGAACAUGACAGUGCUGAAGGAAGCCAUGUUUCAGGGCAAAGCAAUGGGAGAGAUCCACAGGCCCUCGCGAAGGCUGUACAGAUUCACCAAGACACCUUACGCACGAUGUACUUCGCUUAAGUCAAUAGAACAGGAGCAUACUCACUGAAAGGAAGAACUGAGAAACUAAGCCACAUACAAUUGCAAUAAGCGUUCUAAAGGAAAACUGUGUCCAUUGAGCUCUCCUAAAGCAGUGUUUGUACCACUAACCGUGGAAGAAUGGACACCUCCAUGAUUUUCAAAGGACAGAGUUAAAAGCCUUAAUUUUGAAAGGAAAGUUUUAUAGUCAGAAGGAAUCUUGAAUUUUCCUUUUUAAAUCAACAAAAAACAAAAAGCAAGGAUGCUUCUAGAGUCGUGCAAGCUUUACUUGUCACUGCAGUGUUUUGGUUUAACGAAGGAAUUGGCCGUAUUUCUGGCUGUGAGAUGUGGAGGAUAUUUGAAUUAAAAGCGAAGGGUUUUUUAUUAAGAUCUAAGUUUUUACAUGCUUAGUUGAAUCUAUUUGACAUCAGUGAAAUGUCUGGAAUUAAUACAAGUUUUUAGGCUUUUUUCCUCUUUGAUAAUGACUUUCCUUUUAAAAUUAAGUUAUUGGUAACUUCAUUUCACUUUGCAAAUAAAGAGGGCUGGGAUAGUUCUAACCUGUUAAAUGACUGAAAUGUGAAACAAGUCAAUGGGACUCUUUCAUUCCAUUUUAAAUUGAAACCAAUGUUUAAGAUGUCAGAGACGAGCAUUUAUUCAUCGAGGGGACUGGGGAGUUUUGCACUUUGUAAACUCGUGAACUGCAUUUUUGACUGUUUUUAUUUGCACUGGUUCAUAGUAUAUAUACUGCAGAUCGUUUGUAUGGGCAUUGCUGUUAUCCCAGUCCUUCGGAACUCCACCUGCUCUCCACAUGAAAACCAGUGGGUUGGUUUAAGUAGCUAUCUCCUGUUGUUCUCAUGAAAUCCUCUGUUUGCCAAUAUACUGUGUUUUGAGCCUAAAAUCUGAGCCCUUUUGGCAUCAACAGGCAUGAAACGCCCCCAUUGUAUUUUUUUUCUGCCAGAAAACAAAGUACUGUAUUUUGUGCAUUUGUAUGUUGUGCUGUUCACAACACUGUCUCAAAGCUUUACUAAACUCCUAGUGUAUGUAAGUAUUUUUAUCUCCCAGUAUUGAGGAAGAUAAUUUAAAAUGACUAACUCUGCAAAGUUACAGUUGCACUGGAAAUAGUCACAACGGUGGGUGCUUGGCUUGGGGGUCCCUGGAGGGGUGGUGAGAGAAGGAUCAAGGUGACCUGUCCAAGUGUCUCCAGGCUCCUGGGAGCCACAUGCCCUGGGCAGCUCACCCACAGGGCCUGGCCCAGCUGGGCUCAUUGACUCCUCAAGGCACUUGCCUUUGGAUCAGCCUUCAGAUCAGCUGCAGGGAGGUUGUUGUCACUAAAUAAUUUGAGUGAGGCGAUUUCUGAAUAAGUCUCUCAAGUAUCUGUCUUGGUCUGUGGCCUCUGUAGCACUGCAGCUCGUAGUUCUGUUUAUAAAAGGUUCAGGUUAGGCUUUUUACAGAAAACUGUUUUAAAAUAGAGAAGUUUUUUUAAAAAGAGGUAUUUUACAAAGACUUCUUGUGGAUUUAUGGUGUUUAGAUGAAAAUUCCUUUGUAAAAAGGCCUUUUAACACUCCUUUCAAAGACACUGCACACUUCUCAUCCUGCCCAAGCUCGGUGACUAUGAUUUGAGAAGCUUUUUUCACCUGUUACUUUCACUCCCCAAAAAACUCCAUUGAGAAAGUGACUUCAAUUUCUUGUCAAGCUAGCAUUUUACCUGGUUUUCAUGUGAAGAGUAUUUGGAUGUUUUAAUCUCUCUUCUUGGUUUUGCAAAUAUCUACGUCAAGUGCCGAUACUUAUUUGUAUUAUGAUAUCAAGUUCCUGGCGUUGUGAGGGCCACACAUUUAUGAUGCUGUAGCUGCUAUAUUUAUUUAAAUGGAGAUGGACAAUUACUGCACUAAGGAAUGAGGAGAUAAGCAAGGAAUCAAGGUUAGAUAUCUUGUGGUUUGGUUGGUUUAGGUUGGUUUUUGUUUUUUUUCAGAAGAGAAUUAAUGGUGUGAAAUAUCAAGUGUAACAAAGGGUGCUGUCCUUUUAACUGAGAUUAAAUAGCCAGAUAUUCUUCCUUUGUUUAAAAACAUAUAUAUUUUGAUGUUUGCAGUUUGGGGGUGGGGGGUUGGGAUAAAUGGUACCUCAUCUGUGGUGGCAGUUUCCAGUAUAUUUUCAGAGUAUAUGGAUUUCUUUUAUUUUUGUACCUGCUCUCCUUUAAAAAGAAGAAAAGAAAAAAAAAAAGAAUCUCAAAUUUUAUGUGCUGUUGGGGGAAAUCUUGGGUGGCAAACCAGAUCCCCCCCUCUCUUGCUGGGAGCUGUCUGUAUAUAGUCCAAAGAGUGACAUGGGCAAAGGCUGACAGUUCUAUUCACUUUGCAGACACACUGGGCCUCGUUUUUAUGCCUGUCAAAAAAUAAAACCCUAGUUCCUAUCUCCUAAGACACUGCACCAAGACCUCACUUGUGCUUAACAAGUGCCACUAAUUGCUUCCGUGGUGGGAGCCACGUGAGGGCCCCAGCACCGGAGCAGCCUGAGGGUACAGGCCCCACGGGUGCUCCCGGGCCUGGCGCCAGUGCUUCUCGUAGCCUAACAAAACCCUGCCCAAACCUGCCAUCUGGCGACCAGCAGGUCCAGAUUUGGAGAGAAGCAAGAGUGUUUUGUAAUUGAGGAGUUACAUUUGCAACAUCUGCUAAGAGAAUGGCAUGACUCCACUCUAAGUAGCUGGGCUUUUUUUGUCCCCCUCGGUAGGGCACUGAAGUGGUGGCCAUUUUACUCAGGAUCGCUGUAUCGCUGUGUGACGUCUGGUUAAACAAGUCCGAAAGUCAUUUCUGUGUAGGGUUCUUUCUGGCAUCCUUUUGGAAGUUUGUUUGGCCACAGAAAUAGUUUUUUUGGGAAUAACAAUAGGGUUCUGAAAGUUGUCAGUCAGAUUAUUUCAAGAUGCUAUUGGUCCUAAAUGAGUUUCACUUCAUGUGGGUGGUUUUUUGUCCUGUACAGUGCUCAAAAUAAGAUACCGGAUAGUCAUCUUCUGUACAAAUUCCAGCUACUAAUCCUUGUUUUCUACUAGUCUUGAAGUCCACUCUGGUGAAAUUCCAAGCUCAGCCUACACUUUAAAAAGCUUGAGGCUUUUUGGUUUUUUUAACACAUUUUAUUCAUAUCUUGUCCUCUUUUGAUAUUUUCCCUGUUUUGUGAACUGAGGGUUUAGAACCUUACUCAAAGCACUUUUCUAACCAAGGAAUCAAAAGCUCAGACUGUGUACAUUGAAAUUGUAAACUGAGUUUUCAGAGACUGCUGUUUGAGAAUGGCCAUCUUGGUCUCUGGUCACGCCAGGCAGAUACUUUUUUGUCCCUUUCAGUGCUGGGGAGCUUUGUGGUUGCUACUGGCAGGUUGAUUGGAUCUAUUGGAACAAAAACCUUGUAGGGAUGUCAAAGGGAAAGAUUCCUGUCUGUCUUGUCUACCCAAAGAUGGUACUUUGAUAACUGGGUGUUAGGAUAUCAUUUUUGUUUCAGCACAUGUUUAAAUACAACUUCAGCCAGUUCACUUGUCGUUUUUGUUUUUUAAACCUAAAAAGAUAGUGGUUAGAGCUUGAGCUAAUCAAUGCUUUCUGCUGGUAGAAGACUUUGUACUUUCAGUAGUUGAGGUAUGAACGAGGUGGGUACAGGAUCUGAUGUUUUACCUCCUUAGCAGAGUCUCAAGAAUCCUGAUCUCCGUGACACUAAAAACCAAAUUGUCCCUGAGUAAGCGAAGGUGCAUAUGGAGGGGAAGGAAAAUACUGAAGUGUCAGUCUUACAGAAACAAGGGUGUUGGAGAGGCUCCAUCCACUUUCCAUCCCACAUGGCCUGGCCUUUUCAGAUCUCACCUGAGGUACCCCCUCACCUGACACGGGUAGUUAACAUAGGGUACUUUUAAAACAAAUCAGUUCUACUGUUUAAACUUGGAGGGAUUUUUAUUUUUUUUAAGCAAGACAGUCCUCAGAAAGUGCCUUUUUAGAAGAUGGUGCUGUAGAUUUUUAUUUUCCAGUUGUAUGUGGCUGAAAAUUUAAGAUAAAUUAUUGAAAAUGCCAAGUGUUUGAUCGUAUCUUUCAGGUACUUUCAAGCAUCAGCUUCUCUGAGUCAGGACCAAGAAUAACCAGGAAGGUGUUUUCAUUUGGAGGGAGAGGCAUUGAGGAGCGAUCACCAAAUUCAGCUGGUAGGCUGGAAUUGGGUUUGAUUUAGUCAAUGCAAUUUACCUCUUCACAUUGAGGAGGUACAUGGGUUGGGGGAUGGGGUGUAGGAGAAGCGACAGCAUGGGACUCAUGGGGUGAUGUAGUUAGUGCUGGAAGGGAAUCCAUAGCUACAGAAGGAUGUCAUCUCUUAGGUGUAGCAAGCUCCCAAAGGUGAAGUAAACAACCUGAGAGCUGUCUGAAGACUUAGGAAGAUGGUCAGUCCUGCUGUGAGCAGACCUCAGGUGGCUUGUGUGGUUAAAGGAGUCAUGUGCAUGUAAGGAUGGGACUUUCUGAUUCCUAGCUGGGAGUUGUGGUACUUUGAUGGGCAGAGCUUGGUAAGGCAUGGGACGUGCCCAGCUCUGAUGGCUGAAGGCAGCUGUGGGUCUGUAGUGAGUUUGGUGAGCAUUCCUCCAGGCAGGAAAAGCUAUAGACUAGACUAUUAAACACUGCACCUCAGUAACCUUGUAAUGCUGCAUAAAGUAAUAAUAAUAGCAAAGUUCUGCUUUGAUUACACUGUAAUGUGCUUGCACAUGCCUGCAAAAAAAAUACACACUUUGGUUUUUGUAACGGUCUUAAUAGCAGUUAUCAGACUUUUCUGUUGUGAUGAACCUUGUCCUUUAUUGUGGUGUCUCUGUAUAUUUAUUGGUGAUCUGUGUGCAGCUCAUAGGUCUGUGUGUCUGGUCUGUAUGUUGCUUUUAACAGUUAAUUUUUUUGAGGUGGGAGAAGUGUUCUGAACGUUUUGUUUGUUCUUCUCCGGAGUCAGCCUAACCUAGUCACGUUUGAGAGGAGAUUGAAUAAAACCUGCUUUGAUAGACAGACUACUUUAAUUGGUACCUUGUUUCUUGAAAACUUAAAAUGACUUUGUGUUCAUUUUAUUGCUGUUCACACAGUAUUGGGCAUUUCAGAUGUAGAAUAACUUGAUGUCAGGAUCACUUUUGUUUUAUAUCAGGAGCCUAAGCGCAAAACUCCCACUUGAGUUGCAAGUGGAACCUUUGCAGGAAUAUAUUCACGUCCAGACUCUUUUUUCUAGGAGUAAGCAGAGCUUUUUUGACAUCUAUUAAUUUGGACAGGAUCAAUAUUUAGGGUACACAGUCCCAGAGUGGGCACUGACUCCUGUUUGGAGUUGCCCACCCCUCUGUGUUGGGAGGGACGCUGUCAGGUCGAUGUGCAGCGUAGCUCUCUGCUUGUGCUACCCACAGAGACUACGAAUCGAGGAACUUUUUGCUGUGUAGAUUUCUUCUGAUUCAAGUUAGAGAAAUGAUGUUUCUUGUAGUUUGUUACCGACUUUCUUGUCUUAUUACAGUGCCCAGUGCCACCUUGGUGGUAUUUAAGCUUGCAAGGAUGUUGAAUUAUUUUGUAUUCCCAAUUUGUUAAUGUUAUUGGGCGAGGAUUUAGAAAGCUUUUUGUUUCAGUCUAAAUUCUGAGCCAAAACUGUCUCUUUUAUCCCUUUUAGUAGUAGGUGUUUUUAUCUUUUAGACUAAAAAAGGGCCAAAAAUCUUGUACCAUCAGCUUGUUUGCAGCAAUACUCUCCAUCCCUUUCCUGUCAACCAGUUUCUUUUCUAUCCAUGUUUAGCUAAUACUGAAGCAGUUGAGUUUUAAGGGGAAGGAAGAGCCUCUUCUUUCUGUCAAAAGAAAUAAAAUGGACGUUCAUCUGACAAUGAUGGUUUCUGUUGGGCACAGAUCUCUUCCUAGAAAUCUUGCCUCGGUGAUGAUGAACUGUAGCAGACAGGGAUUUAAUUACAGUACAAACGUUCUGUGUGUUUCUGUUGCAUUCAUUGGAGGGUGCAUCAUGUCUUAAAGUGAUGUAAAAACAAGCUAAUGAACAACUGGAGAUGUAGACACUAUUACAGUACUUCAAAUGAAGAAAAAACCCACAAACCAAACCAAAUAAAACCAACAACCUAGUGCACAGGGAUAGUUUUAGUUCAUCCUUCUUCCUGGCAAAGUUCGAGCCUGAGGGUUUGCUGUAGUUGAUGCUACUCAUAGUAGAUUGUGCUGGGAUUCAUCCUUAAACUGAACCAACUCAGCUGUGUGCUUUAUGAAGAGGAGAAGUGGUAGUGGUGACUGUGCUGUUAAACCAAUAGUAGAAAGCUCUAAAAACACAGGGAUGAAACUUGUCUUCAUGUUGAAAAAGCUGAAUAUACUCAUGCUGCUAGAGCCUUGUGAACCUGAACCUUUGCAUCCACAGUUUACCCCCAAAGACCCCACAUGACUACUUCAGAAACUUAAUACAUGAGGGCAAAAGCAUGUCCCUGGAUUUUUUCAGUGCCUGUUCACAGAGGGCUGUGCUGAGAAGCAGGUGGCAGUGCCUGUAACAGCUGUGUCAUUACAUCAAACUGUGCUUUAUAUCUAAACCUUGCAGCUACCUGACUGGGUCAAAGCAGAUACAAGUUCCAGUAGAUCGGUGCUAUUUGAAAACAGUGGAGCCAAGGGAGUUUGUGAGCAAUAUCUGACCCCUCCAUAAAACACAGAUGCUCUGAGAGGCUUUUAGUUGCAGUUUUCACCCACUUGAUGUGUGCCUGGCUACCAAGAAAAACAGCAGCAGGCAGUUGUAGAGUUAAUUUUGCUGUAGCACUACAGUUGCUCUGCUCUUCCUCAGCUCUUACCUACCUCCCUGUUCCCUUACACAGGACCACUCUCCCUCUGCUGCCUAUCUAGAAUUGGCCAUAUUCAGCUGUAGCUGUGUGGAAGGUGAAUCAGCUCUGGGUGUGAGGGGGGAGUGGUGUGAUGGUGAUAAAAGCUUCUGUCUGUAGAAAUAAAGGACUGGGUAAGCUGUGGUCAGCUCAGGCCCUUCAGGGAAAUCGAUGGGAACACCAAACGUUAGCUUAGGUGUCCUGAACUGCUUGUGUCAAACUUGAACUCGUUGAGAGCAAGGAUGUGCCUUUUCCUGAUCAAGAACAAAGAAUGAAAAUCUUCUUUGUGUUGGUAGCUUGGUUAGUAUUUUUCUUGGGCUAUUUUUAAAGCUUGAAGUCCUUGGUCAGAAUGGAGUUGGUUUUGUGUUAAAUUGUUUAAUCAAAGUGAGCCCUGAAUUAUUUGAACUACCCAGAGAGAAGAAGGUCUUAAAACAAGUGGUUUCUGGAGAGUAAUGUCAUCAAAUAAACAUACUUCCUGGUAGACUUGCAACUUUUUAACUAAAACUUAACCUUGACAUGUUUAUCUAAAGAGAAUCAUUAAUUCUGCCUUGAUUUGAAUGUUGCCUGUCCAGUAAUGUCCUCACUUGUUACAGUGCUCCUGCAGUUUUCUAUACACUCCAUUGCUUCUUCCCCCUGACCCCCUGUUCGGUGGCUGUUAAGGACAUGAAGAAUGUUGUCUGGUGAAUGUUGGGGAGUGGUGCAGAGGUCUGAUUAAGUGGGAACAUGGAAAUGAGGCUUAAACAUCACAGAUUCUUUAGGAAGCAGUUUGCUGGUAGCUGAAAGCAUUGAUAGUCUCUUGGGUAUGGAAAGAGGUAGUGAAUGGUAUGAGGGGAGAAAAGAUCCCCAUCCUGUGUGCUGUGCCCAAGUAGGUACCUGUGUCCUUAGAUGCUAGUUUGAGCAUAAAGCUGCUAAAAAUGGAUUUUCAGACCAAAAUGGAAGAGCCUUUCAAAUGAGUUCUAUUUUCUGCAGUUUUGAGACGUUCAUAAGUUAUCCAGCCAGGAGCUCUGGGAUCAGUGCUGGCUCUGACCUCGGGUAAAUGAUUCUGCCUUGUUUUUCACCCGAUCUAGAACAUGUUUCUGGUGUUUCACCUCGCCUUAUGAGAGCCAGAUGUUGGGUGUUGUGAGGAUGAACCACGCUGGGGAAGUGCUGACUUCUUCACACAAAGCUGUGCACCUUCUUGCAAGUUUGCAUCUUCAGUUAACACCAUUGUGUUUGGAGUCUGUCUCCUGUCGUGAGCCUGUGCUCUUCGCUUGUAAUUCACCACAGCUCUGCCUGAGGAAGGCCGUGGGAACUGGUCCCAUUACCUGUUGCGUUCUUUUAAGGUAACUAAUCUGUUGCAAAGCAGACAGUCAGAGAGCAAGUUUAUUUAAAUGAAAGGUGUUUUUUUUCAUUGCUGAGAAUUGUAUAGGUCUUCAAACACAUUUGGCAGUUGGAAAUUAAUACCUACUGUAAUACUAUCUAGCAACACAAAGAUAUGAGUAUGUGUUUAGGGUUAUGCUAGCCCACAAAUCAUAGGUCCACAACCUCUUUAAGUACAGGUGAGCAAAACUUAGCUGUUAAAAUAGUUACUAAUAAACCUUAAUUGUGCUUAACACUUGCAGAUCUCCACAUAUAUUCAAAACCAAUUUCUUUGACAGAAAAUCCAUGUCUUACCAGUUAGUGUUCACUCAGACAUCAGUAGCAAAGUAAUACCCACUGGAGCAAUGCUGAACUUCAAAGAACCUUGUGACAUUUGUGAACCUGAUGGUGUGCCAGCAAAGUGGAGGCUUGUAACUGGUGAGGAAAAUUGAACACCAAAAAUACUCGGUGAGAGGAAGGCUGCUAGAGGUCAAGUUUGUCUUCUGACUUCUGGCAACUUUGCAGUGAAGAAUGGCUUCUCUUGGGUACUCGGUUUUGUACAUCACUUUCCUCCUGUGGUUGUAGUUUUUAGUUUUCUUUGGACUUGAUUUCUCCUCUUCAGCAAAAUGUUCUCGUUUCUGCACUUUUCAGUGUUGAAUCUAGCCUUGAGACUACUUAAUGUUGUUUUCCUGCUUCUAGAUAGUUGGUUUGUGUCUGUUUUGCAGGCAGUUGGGAAAAGGCAGCCUCAGCACAGCGAUAGAGUUGACAGAGCAAGAUUUUGGGUUGAGAUGUUGAUUUCUUUCCAGGCUCGUUGCUCAGCCCUUUCUGCCCUGACACUGGUGUACAGCCCCUGCACCUCGUGGGCCAGGUGAUGCACUUUGGGCUCACGGGGUGCAGAUCCUCUGGUCUCUUAUAUUCUUGUUUCUUCCCUUGGUGUAAGCAGUUAAACUUCCCCAGGUAGCCUGUUGGUGGAUAAAUGGUGGUGGUGUUUGUAGUGAGGGGAAAAACUAGGCUGUUUCCGUGGACUGGAAGUGUCUGGUCACAGAGGAGUUUGUCUAUCAACAGGCAUUACAUGAAAGCUUUCACAGUCACUGGUACCAUUCUGUUAUGAGCCAACGUGGGUAUUAAAGUAUCUUCAGGAGCAGGUGGCUCUGGUGGCAUAGUGUGUGCCAUAAACAUUGCUAGUGACCAGCUGUAUUUGUUCAGGAGACUGCUGGAAGCAAUAUUGUGCAUAUAAAUCUUGCCUAUUUAAUACCAUACCUUUGAAUUGAAAUGAAACAAAACUCUUGUGCUGUUUGGGAUUCCUUUUCAGACUAUAAUUCCAAUAAAUCAGUCCAGUGGUUUGAGAUCCCCUCUAUGUGUAUGUCUCACUUUCUCAUAUGCUGGUAACUGCUUCCCUCUCGUUCUGCUGUUCCCGUUGCUGAAGCAGGAGCUUUGAGGGUGUUCCCACCAUGAGGGGGAGGGUUCCAAGCAAGAAGGGAAUGUUUCAAGAAUAAAGCAGAGCUGUGACUUGAGGCGUUGCACAAAUAGAUUGUAGGUGGAUGGCAAGCAAACUGGUAAAAGCCUUUCUUUUUUCCUUAACCAUCUCGACCAUGUGUGCCUAUUUGUAUUGCAGAUGUGGGCUGCAGCCGUG